AUCCAGCUAACGAGUCCUAAAUAGGACGAAACGUGCGUCCUGGAU
rnacentral:hammerhead_ribozyme from 1 species